GCGGAGGAAAAGAAACUAACAAGGAUUCCCCUAGUAACGGCGAGUGAACCGGGAAAAGCUCAAAUUUGUAAUCUGGCUGUCUUCGAUAGUCCGAGUUGUAAUCUAUAGACGUGUUUUCCGUGCUGGACCGUAUCUAAGUCCCUUGGAACAGGGUAUCAAAGAGGGUGACAAUCCCGUGCUUGAUACGACCACCAGUGCUCUGUGAUACACGCUCUACGAGUCGAGUUGUUUGGGAAUGCAGCUCAAAAUGGGUGGUAAAUUCCAUCUAAAGCUAAAUAUUGGCGAGAGACCGAUAGCGAACAAGUACCGUGAGGGAAAGAUGAAAAGCACUUUGGAAAGAGAGUUAAACAGUACGUGAAAUUGUUGAAAGGGAAACGAUUGAAGUCAGUCGUGUUCUUUGGAUUCAGCUAGUUCUUCUAGUCUACUUCCUUUGAACGGGUCAACAUCAGUUUUGUCCGGUGGAUAAAGAUAGUAGGAAUGUAGCUCCCUCGGGAGUGUUAUAGACUAUUAUUGCAUGCACUGGGUGAGACUGAGGACUGCAGCUCGCCUUUUGGCCGGCCUUCGGGUACGUUCGAGCUUAGGAUGUUGACAUAAUGGCUUUAAACGACCCGUCUU
rnacentral:rRNA from 1 species